rnacentral:lncRNA from 1 species
CGGGCCGGCGGAGAGGGCGGUGGGGAGGGCGUCGGCGGCGGGGACGAGGGUGGCGGAGAGGAAGGCGUCGAAGCCGAGGAGCGGGGGCGGGGCCGUGGCGGCGCGGAGGCGGGAGUCGAGGCCGUAGUAGAGGGCCUCGUCGAGGAGGUCCUNNNNNNNNNNNCGAGGAGGUCCUGCUCGGAGAACCGGCGGGCGGCGGCGGAAGAGGGCAGGCGGCCGGAGCGGAGGAGCGAGAGGAGGGCGGAGAAGAGGUCGGGGUCGCGGUCGAUGAAGACGGGGCCGGCGGCAGUCGCGGGACUGCGGAGGGAGAGGGCCGC